rnacentral:rRNA from 1 species
UAGCGCCUCGUGAAUUCAUCUCCGGGGGUAGAGCACUGUUUCGGCUAGGGGGCCAUCCCGGCUUACCAACCCGAUGCAAACUGCGAAUACCGGAGAAUGUUAUCACGGGAGACACACGGCGGGUGCUAACGUCCGUCGUGAAGAGGGAAACAACCCAGACCGCCAGCUAAGGUCCCAAAGUCAUGGUUAAGUGGGAAACGAUGUGGGAAGGCCCAGACAGCCAGGAUGUUGGCUUAGAAGCAGCCAUCAUUUAAAGAAAGCGUAAUAGCUCACUGGUCGAGUCGGCCUGCGCGGAAGAUGUAACGGGGCUAAACCAUGCACCGAAGCUGCGGCAGCGACGCUGAUGCGUUGUUGGGUAGGGGAGCGUUCUGUAAGCCUGCGAAGGUGGCCUGUGAGGGUUGCUGGAGGUAUCAGAAGUGCGAAUGCUGACAUAAGUAACGAUAAAGCGGGUGAAAAGCCCGCUCGCCGGAAGACCAAGGGUUCCUGUCCAACGUUAAUCGGGGCAGGGUGAGUCGACCCCUAAGGCGAGGCCGAAAGGCGUAGUCGAUGGGAAACGGGUUAAUAUUCCCGUACUUGGUGUUACUGCGAAGGGGGGACGGAGAAGGCUAUGUUGGCCGGGCGACGGUUGUCCCGGUUUAAGCGUGUAGGUGUGUGUUCCAGGUAAAUCCGGUUCACUUUAACACUGAGGCGUGAUGACGAGGCACUACGGUGCUGAAGCAACAAAUGCCCUGCUUCCAGGAAAAGCCUCUAAGCAUCAGGUAACAUCAAAUCGUACCCCAAACCGACACAGGUGGUCAGGUAGAGAAUACCAAGGCGCUUGAGAGAACUCGGGUGAAGGAACUAGGCAAAAUGGUGCCGUAACUUCGGGAGAAGGCACGCUGACACGUAGGUGAAGUGAUUUACUCAUGGAGCUGAAGUCAGUCGAAGAUACCAGCUGGCUGCAACUGUUUAUUAAAAACACAGCACUGUGCAAACACGAAAGUGGACGUAUACGGUGUGACGCCUGCCCGGUGCCGGAAGGUUAAUUGAUGGGGUCAGCGCAAGCGAAGCUCCUGAUCGAAGCCCCGGUAAACGGCGGCCGUAACUAUAACGGUCCUAAGGUAGCGAAAUUCCUUGUCGGGUAAGUUCCGACCUGCACGAAUGGCGUAAUGAUGGCCAGGCUGUCUCCACCCGAGACUCAGUGAAAUUGAACUCGCUGUGAAGAUGCAGUGUACCCGCGGCAAGACGGAAAGACCCCGUGAACCUUUACUAUAGCUUGACACUGAACAUUGAGCCUUGAUGUGUAGGAUAGGUGGGAGGCUUUGAAGUGUGGACGCCAGUCUGCAUGGAGCCGGCCUUGAAAUACCACCCUUUAAUGUUUGAUGUUCUAACGUGGACCCGUGAUCCGGGUUGCGGACAGUGUCUGGUGGGUAGUUUGACUGGGGCGGUCUCCUCCUAAAGAGUAACGGAGGAGCACGAAGGUUGGCUAAUCCUGGUCGGACAUCAGGAGGUUAGUGCAAUGGCAUAAGCCAGCUUGACUGCGAGCGUGACGGCGCGAGCAGGUGCGAAAGCAGGUCAUAGUGAUCCGGUGGUUCUGAAUGGAAGGGCCAUCGCUCAACGGAUAAAAGGUACUCCGGGGAUAACAGGCUGAUACCGCCCAAGAGUUCAUAUCGACGGCGGUGUUUGGCACCUCGAUGUCGGCUCAUCACAUCCUGGGGCUGAAGUAGGUCCCAAGGGUAUGGCUGUUCGCCAUUUAAAGUGGUACGCGAGCUGGGUUUAGAACGUCGUGAGACAGUUCGGUCCCUAUCUGCCGUGGGCGCUGGAGAACUGAGGGGGGCUGCUCCUAGUACGAGAGGACCGGAGUGGACGCAUCACUGGUGUUCGGGUUGUCAUGCCAAUGGCACUGCCCGGUAGCUAAAUGCGGAAGAGAUAAGUGCUGAAAGCAUCUAAGCACGAAACUUGCCCCGAGAUGAGUUCUCCCUGAGACUUAGAGUCUCCUGAAGGAACGUUGAAGACGACGACGUUGAUAGGCCGGGUGUGUAAGCGCAGCGAUGCGUUGAGCUAACCGGUACUAAUGAACCGUGAGGCUUAACCUUACA